rnacentral:rRNA from 1 species
UAAUACGUAGGUGGCAAGCGUUGUCCGGAUUUACUGGGCGUAAAGAGCGCGCAGGCGGUCGAUUAAGUCGAGUGUGAAAGCCCCCGGCUCAACUGGGGAGGGUCACUUGAUACUGGUCGACUCGAAGGCAGGAGAGGGAAGUGGAAUUCCCGGUGUAGUGGUGAAAUGCGUAGAUAUCGGGAGGAACACCAGUGGCGAAGGCGACUUCCUGGCCUGUUCUUGACGCUGAGGCGCGAAAGCUAGGGGAGCAAACGGG